GUGACGUCAAAAAGUCUAUAAAAGCGUAAGCUGUAGGUUUUCGGGGUCCUCCUCCAUCUUGACCCAUGCCCGCCGUAUGUGCCAUUUCCGCCCUUCUGGCAUCUUUCUUCGUUUCGCGUACUGUAACUUAUAAACCUAAAUUUCUAAUAAUAUUUUUCAACAUUUUCCAAUUCAUUUUUAAACCUUUUGGCCCUUAAAUGUUCUUUUAUCACUCUCCGCUCUCCCAGAGUUUUCAUAAUUUCUUUAAGUGCACGAAUAACGAAAACCCUUCUUGUUUCACGCUUAUACGUGACAGUUGUUCUCAUGCUUGUUUUUUAACAUUGAAGUAUAAUGCAAUAACUCUGAUUUUUCCCACAUGUAAUAGACGCAGACGUUAGUGCUCAAUGUUCAAGCCCUAAUGAAUUCGCCGGGCAUCGCCACUUCAGUCAGAGAGCAAUUAAAAUUAUUUUUGAUGGAACUAAGAGACAAGACAAUAUCUUUUACCAUCAGCGGGUUUUUGAAACUAGAACUUCCAACUUUUGUCUCUUUUCUGAAAGGCGUUUUCACAAAUCUACUGAUUCUACUGCAAUUCUCAAACCUGGUGACAGCUACGAAUAAAGUCUUGGAUAGUAAGGUGGGUGAUGGAACCAUUUGCUUGUUCUGUAUUUAAUGUUAUUAGUAUGUAUAAACGAGUGUCCAUAGUCAUAUGGUCAAAGUUGAAUAUUUGUAUUGAAUAUUGGUUAAAGUUCAAUUCGUAGAUCGUAUCAAUGAAUGCAAUCAGUUCGUCGUAAAAACCUUCAGUGUUUACUGAAUCGAGCUAAAAGUCGACGGUCACAGCUGAAGAAUGUAUAACUUUAUUGCAUUGUUGCAUACUUCCAAAACCACCAAUGAUGCAUUUUUUAACGGGAAAUUUAUUGAAAUACCUUCCUGUUUUCUAUAAAAAUAUUUGAACAAUUGUAGGGAAUUGACAAAAAACACACGCAUAUCUCCCAAUGAAUAGGAGAAUUACAAAACACAAAUAAUUUUUUCUUCUUUCUUUUGUAAAUAAAAUACAUAAGCGAAGAUUCACCAUGUCACAAUUAGAGAUAAGCUAAAUUUGAAUUAGGCCAUCGAAAUAAUCAGGAGAGUUUGAAUCCAUGAAAUACGCAUUCCCUCUCAGACUUAAAAUUAUUUAAUGUGUUAAAUGAGGGCAAUUGAAUAAUUUUCAUGACACAUAUUAAAUGAUGCACUUGUAAUGUUCACGGAGGAAUUGAAUGAUUUUAUUUGGCAUAAUCUCUCAAUAAUUUGCCAUCAAUGUGUCACAAAAAGUUACGUGAAUAUAUCCAGCCAGCAUUUUUCGAUUCACUCAUAGUCGCGUUGCCAGUUGCCUUCAACUUGCUGUGUAUGCAAUUGUACAUGCAAGGUUACCGGGGAGCCGUUGGCUACAUUGAAGGAGUAAAAAUGGAUGAAUUGAAUGCUAUCUGAUAAAAAGAUGACUAUAUCAUUAACGUUUACCGAUGAUUGUUGAUGAUUGUUGAUGAUUGUAAAAUCACGCAUGAGGAACGGAGAGAAUGUGGUCUUUUUUUACUAAUCAAUAAAAUAUUUUUUAUGCCUGGUUUGUGCUAAUGACCAAUUUAAAUUAAUGAAAGUUUUUUGUGGCAUUUAUGGAUGAGAAAAAUUGACAGAAAAGUGCUCGACGUUUUCAACAAGUUUCCGAGCAGGAAGGAGAAAAUCAAUACAAUUGAUGAGUGGUUCAGUUUGUCACUCUUAUAAUCAAUAAAUUAAGUUUGAAAAGACAAAAAUGAAAGAAAGUUCUUUCUGAUAGGCGAAACAUAUAUAUAAGUUUACACGAAACGAAUAAAUGGACCGCAUUUAGCAGAAAUGAAUGAAAUUACAUCAUCUUUUGCCAAAUUUAACCGGGCAAUUUAGUUCUUGUCUAUCAAUUUCAAUUAUCAGCCUGCAGACUGAUUAUUGAAAUGAUUUUACGAGAGAAUGUUGUGCAGAUUCUUUUGAACAUUUUAAGGGAUUUGCUCCGUGCAAUGCAGAGAAAAAAUUCACAAAAAAUUUUCAC
rnacentral:lncRNA from 1 species